rnacentral:rRNA from 1 species
GACGAACGCUGGCGGCGUGCUUAACACAUGCAAGUCGAACGAUGAAGCUAGAGCUUGCUCUGGUGGAUUAGUGGCGAACGGGUGAGUAACACGUGAGUAACCUGCCCCGAACUCUGGGAUAACUGCUGGAAACGGUAGCUAAUACCGGAUAUGACCAAUGAAGGCAUCUUCUGUUGGUGGAAAGAAUUUCGGUUCGGGAUGGACUCGCGGCCUAUCAGCUUGCUGGUGAGGUAACGGCUCACCAAGGCGACGACGGGUAGCCGGCCUGAGAGGGUGAUCGGCCACACUGGGACUGAGACACGGCCCAGACUCCUACGGGAGGCAGCAGUGGGGAAUAUUGCACAAUGGGCGCAAGCCUGAUGCAGCGACGCCGCGUGAGGGAUGACGGCCUUCGGGUUGUAAACCUCUUUCAGCACCGACGAAGCGCAAGUGACGGUAGGUGCAGAAGAAGGACCGGCCAACUACGUGCCAGCAGCCGCCGUAA